CGUUGAGCUAGACAUUUUGCUAAAUAAUUAUAAAAUCGAAUUAGUAAAAGAGAUUAGUUUUCUCGGGGUGAUCCUAGAUGAACAUCUCACGUGGAAAUCCCAUAUAUCGUACAUAGCCAGGAAAAUUUCGAAAUCGAUUGGGAUUAUAAAAAAGGCAAGCUUUUACGUUUCUAAAUCGUCGUUAGUUUUGUUAUACUAUUCUCUUAUUUAUCCAUAUAUGCAAUAUUGUAUACUAGUCUGGGGCUCCACUUAUCCGUCAAAUUUAAAUCGUAUUGUGUUGUUGCAAAAGCGUGUUAUUAAAAUAAUAAACCACGAGGUAUAUGACGCUCAUACAGAGCCUAUUUUCAAAGAACUUGAGUUGCUGACUUUCCAUCAAGUGUAUUUGUUUCACUUAGGUAAAUUUAUGUUCCUGUAUCAUAAACAAAGGUUACCACUCAAUUUUAAUACUUUUUUUCAUCGAGUUAGUGAAAUUCAUGCGUAUAAUACGCGGAAUUUGAAUUUAUAUUCCAUUCCAUUAUGUAGAACAAAUAUUAGACAAUUUUCUGUUAACUACCAAGGUGUAAAAUUGUUUAAUUCACUCAGUCAUGAUAUUCGCGAUGCUUCAUCUGUUGGCUGUUUUAGACAAAGACUAAAAGAAUACUUAUUAAAUUUAUAGUUUUCUGUCCAUUUAUCACUUUUUCUUUUCCUCUUUAAUUGUACUUUAAUUUGUAUUAGUUUGUAUUAGCUAUAUGUAAUUAUGUGUAAUUGUGUGUCUCUCUGGCUUGAUCAGGAUGAAAAAGGUAGCCCAAAAUUUAUAAGCCUUAUGGUUUCUCUUGGGCUCCCUUGCCAGUAUAAUUUAUUUAUUUAUGAAUGUUGUAUUUUUUAUUUAUUUAUUUUUUUUGGCAAAAUAAAUUGACUUGACUUGACUUGACUUGACU